rnacentral:rRNA from 1 species
UGCAACUCGCCUGCAUGAAGUCGGAAUUGCUAGUAAUCGCGGAUCAGCAUGCCGCGGUGAAUACGUUCCCGGGCCUCGUACACACCGCCCGUCACACCAUGGGAGUCGGUAACACCCGAAGCCUGUGAGCUAACUUUUAGAGGCAGCAGUCGAAGGUAGAAUCAAUGAUUGGGGUGAAGUCGUAACAAGGUAAC